GGCAACCAGCAAACACCAGCACAAAUUUAACUGGAAAAAGCAUCAUGAAGGUAGCUGGCAGCACACAGGCAACGAGUAAUUAGUUCUACUGCAGUGUUUAGAGGAGGGGGCUAUGUAGAUGUGCACCCAAACAAAGACGUAAAAACAGCACAGGUAAAAACUAGGGUAAACACAUUUUAAGCCAAACAGAGUGCAGAACCAUCAGCGUACAAUGCAAACAAUCUCAGAACUCGUAAUAUGCCAACAGACGGUACGAAGCUUAGUUGGACACAAGUAUAAGUCAUCAUCUUACAUGAGACACCAAUCCCAACCAGCGAGCAGAAUGUGUCCUUCAGUUCAGCACGUUGAUAAAGAAACGCUAGGAUACAAUCGAGUAGGGAUUAUUGAGUAGAAAGCCUUCAG
rnacentral:lncRNA from 1 species